rnacentral:lncRNA from 1 species
CUUCUGAGGUUCAUGUUCCUGCAUGGACAGUGGUUAUAACCACGUGAGAUAACCCAGGCAUUUAUCACCUUGGAAGAGAGGAGAAAACUACCUUGAAUGAAACUUCAUCUAGGCUAGAAGAUGACAUGAUGAUCAAGUAGAAGGACCAUGUUACAGUUUUUAAAAUACAUUCUAAGCAGUUCUGUGGAUCACAGCUGUUUAU